rnacentral:misc_RNA from 1 species
AAGUCGUAACAAGGUAACCGUAGGUGAACCUGCGGUUGGAUCAUUAAAAAAUGUUUGGUCUUGUACCAAAUGAACACCUGUGUGCACCAAAUGACUGUUUUUGGUAGUUCGAGUUGCUCCUCGGGACUCAACACCCCGAGGUGCCUACCGCUGCCCGAUUAGGUGGACUGGUUUUACAACCUGGGCACCGUCAUUGGGCAACGCGCGGUUGGGCUACCGACCAUUUGAACAAACAUUUUGAUUUUUUUGUCUGAACUUUUAAGAUUUAAUCUUUGAUGAUUAAUGAUUAAUUACAACUUUUGGCAACGGAUCUCUUGGCUCUC